CCACUGUGGGUCAGGGGAGCACAGCCCGGGCUCCGGCACUGGCAAAAGGAGUUGGGGGGAUGUGUGGCCCUGGCUGCUAGGAGGGGGUGGGCAGCCCUGGUUUUGGUCCCACCACUGACAGCUGAAGUCAAGGAAGUCCAGUAUAGUCUCAGAAUCUGGGUCCUCAAUGACUAAAUUGUAUCCUUACUUAAACAUUUGCUACUUGGAGUACUAUUGUUGUUACUGAUACCUUCUCCAUGAAGGGCCAGAACUAACUAACUCUUCUUAAAACUACCUUAUGUACCCUAAAACAUAUCCCUAAUGGCUUGUAUUGUUAAUUUGUAAGGCUACAUUUGUCCAAGCAAAACUGUGGUUUGAUAUCUUUUCCAGGGCCCUGAAUGCAUUCAUUAUCUUCAGCAAGAAUAUCUGCCUUCACUGCAGGUAGCUCCUGAAAUAAUCCAGGAGUUUUGUCAAGCACUUCAGCAGUCUGAUGCUAAAGUUUUUAAAAAUUACUUAAAGGUAUUCUUUCAAAGAGCAAAGCCCUAAGGAAAAUACUGGAAUCCCCUGUUCCAUAAUCAGGAACUCCAGUUAUUUAUACAAAUGCUAACAUUUUGUGCCAUUCAAACUGGUUUUGUUUUUAAAGAUGUUGCUUUCUGCUUACAUCAGUAAAUAUUUUAGUCUUUGGAAAAAUGCAAAUGAAUAUGCAUCGCUUCUGUGUCUCAUUAGAUACACUUAAGGUAUG